UUUUUUUGUUUUUUUUUUGUGGUAUUGGGGAACAGUAGAAGAGAGGACAGGCUUUGGAGUCAGCCAAAUGUGGUUUCAAAUCCUACAGCCUCCUUGUAAGGUGUUACAAUCCUGGGCAAAUUAUUUAAUUCCAAGCUGCCAUUUUCCUUACCUGGAAAAUGAGAUUAAUACCAGGUGUCCCUUAAACAUUGUUGAAAAAUAGACACUAAGUUACUGCUAAUAUUCUUUUUUAUUCUUUGUAAAAUUAUCAUACAGUGAAAUUGACCCUUCUAGGAAUACAGUUCCAUGAACUUAUAGAUUUGUAUAAUCACCACCACAAUCAGAAUACAGAAAAAUUCUAUUAUGCUCUAGUAAACUUCCCCUGCUGCCCCUUUAUAAUCAUGCCCUCCCUCUGUCACAAAAGCUUCUUUUUGAAAAGGGUCUUGGGGUACAAAUUAUGCUUAGUUUACAUUUGAGAUCACCCCAAAUUUAGGAAAAUCUUCAGUUUAUGAUAAAAAAAAAUACAUAUUAUGUUAGGAAUUACUUUUCUGGGUUGUGGCAGCAGUGUGUACGUGGGGCAAUAUGUCAUUUUUUCCCUUUUUUUCUUCUCCCUUUCUUCCUUUCUCUGGAAAUACUUAUAAUCCUGCACAUUGGAAACGCUAAGCUGCAGAAAAUCUAAUUCCAAAACUACUGCAUCUGCUUUGAGAUUCUUCCUAAUGCAGUCAUACACUGACAAGAAAUUUAACAAAACUGUGUUUUGUACCACAUUUAACAUCAGUCCCCACCAAAGUUGUAAAAUAUGUACUUUGUCUGUCAAAUCCCUCCAUCUUUUGAGGCAGUCAGAGUUCUUUGAAAGCAGGUAUCUGCCCUUAGGUUCCCUGCCUUCUAAUUUAAGAGACUAAACUAAGACAAGCCUGGCUGUCUGUUAUGGCUUAAGUUGUGCCCCUUCUCCCCAAGAUAUGUUGGCGUUAACCCCCAGUACCUCAGAAUGGGACCUUAUUUUGAGAGAGGGUCGUCGCAGAGGGAAACAAGUCAAAAUGGGAACAUUAUGGUGGGUCUUUGUCCAGUAUGACUAGUGUCCUGAUGAAAAGGGGGAAUUUGGACAAGACAGUCAUCACCCGGGGAGAACGCCACGUGGAGAUGAAGGCAGAGAUCGGGGAGUCGCAGGAGAAGCCAAGGCAGACCAAGGAUUGCCAGCAACCACAGAAGCUCGGGGAGGCCUGGGUCAGAUUCUCUGUCAUGGCCCUCAGGGUUGUGACCACCCUACCUGCACCUAGAUCUCGACUUCCAGUCCCCAGAACUCUGAGGCAAUCCAUUUGUGGUGUUUAAGCCACCCAGUUUGUGGUAUUUUAUAUGGCAGCCUUAGGAAGCUAACGGGCUGUCUUUAAUAAAAAUUAUUUUUUUAAAUUUAUUUAUUUUGAGAGAGAGUGAGAGAAUACAAGCGGGGGGAGGAACAGAGAGAAAGGGAGAGAGAGAAUCCCAAGCGGGGUCUGCAUCGUCAGCAGGGAGCCUGAUGCGGGACUCGAACUCCCGAACCGUGAGGUCGUGGCCUGAGCCGACAUUAGGAAUAGGACGCUUAACCGACUGAGCCACCGAGGCACCCCUAAUAAAAAUGACUUUUUUAAAUGACAGUGUGUGUGUUGGAAGAAAGGGCAAGUGGUGUUUGAGGAAUUUGGAGCCCUGGUGUUGGUGAUUGCUGGUCUAUGGCUUGUGGACGUUGAGUUUCCUGCUGUUGCCACCACUGUGUGCAGAAGACAGCACUUAUUUCACUCUUUUUGUUUAGAGUGAUUUGAACCAUUACUGUCUCCUCCCCUCCUUCUUUCUCACCCCAUCUUACUCUCUUCCUCCUCCAGAUUCUUCUUUUUCUCCCAUGCGUGCCUAAUCUGCUUCCUCCCCAGAGCCUGCUUCCUUCCUCCCACUUGGCUUGGCUCACCUGUCUUAUCACUCGUGGUUGCACAGAAAAGAAGUAAAGCGAGUGAUAUUGUACCUUCAUGGAGUCCUGUCCCCGGACAGGAGGAAAUUACUGAUUGACUGCGUGGACCAUCAGCACAUGUUCACCUCCGUUGGCUCAGCCCCGCUUCCCUGCCACAUGAUCCUUCUAGUGUGAAGUGUUUGAACGUAGCUGAAGACGGACAACCACGCUGCAUGGUUUCCCCUUAGAUGUA